GUGAAUCAUCGAAUUUUUGAACGCAAAUUGCACUCUCUGGUAUUCCGGAGAGUAUGCCUGUUUGAGGGUCAGUUUAAGUAAAAAUCGGUGUGGUUGCUGCCUUUCGUGGUGACGCACCGGAUGUGGGUCGUCUUGCCUUCGGUUAAGUGACCUAAAAUUUUGCAUUGAUUUCUGGACGUAUUUAAAUUUAUUUUGUACGUGUUUGUGAUAUCGAAUGCUUAUUACGUGUGGUCAUCUUCAUCGCGCACGUCU
rnacentral:misc_RNA from 1 species